rnacentral:misc_RNA from 1 species
GAUGAAGAACGUAGUAAAAUGCGAUAAGUAGUGUGAAUUGCAGAAUUCAGUGAAUCAUCGAAUCUUUGAACGCACAUUGCGCCCUUUGGUAUUCCUUAGGGCAUGCCUGUUCGAGCGUCAUUUAAACCUUCAAGCUCAGCUUGGUGUUGGGUGACUGUCCGCUUCACCGCGGACUCGCCUCAAAAUUAUUGGCGGCCGGUACAUUGGCUUCGAGCGCAGCAGAAACGCGAACUCGGGCCCGUCGUAUUGGCUCCCAGAAGCUAUCUUCACAAUUUUGACCUCGGAUCAGGUAGGGAUACCCGCUGAACUUAAGCAUAUCAAUAAGCGGAGGA